GACGAACGCUGGCGGCGUGCUUAACACAUGCCAGUCGAACGGAAAGGCCCUGCUUUUGUGGGGUGCUCGAGUGGCGAACGGGUGAGUAACACGUGAGUAACCUGCCCUUGACUUUGGGAUAACUUCAGGAAACUGGGGCUAAUACCGGAUAGGAGCUCCUGCUGCAUGGUGGGGGUUGGAAAGUUUCGGCGGUUGGGGAUGGACUCGCGGCUUAUCAGCUUGUUGGUGGGGUAGUGGCUUACCAAGGCUUUGACGGGUAGCCGGCCUGGGAGGGUGGCCGGCCACAUUGGGACUGAGAUACGGCCCAGACUGCUACGGGAGGCAGCAGUGGGGAAUAUUGCACAAUGGGCGGAAGCCUGAUGCAGCAACGCCGCGUGCGGGAUGACGGCCUUCGGGUUGUAAACCGCUUUCGCCUGUGACGAAGCGUGAGUGACGGUAAUGGGUAAAGAAGCACCGGCUAACUACGUG
rnacentral:rRNA from 1 species